rnacentral:rRNA from 1 species
UGAAGCUGGAAUUGCUAGUAAUGGCAGGUCAGCAUACUGCCGUGAAUACGUUCCCGGGCCUUGUACACACCGCCCGUCACACCAUGAGAGUUGGGAAUACCCGAAGCCUGUGAGCUAACUUAUAGACCCCGGAGCAGUCGAAGGUAGAAUCAAUGAUUGGGGUGAAGUCGUAACAAGGUAAC